rnacentral:tRNA from 1 species
GUAGCUCAGCUGGUUAGAGCACCACCUUGACAUGGUGGGGGUCGUUGGUUCGAGUCCAAUC